GCUCCUGCCAUGGGUUUGUGGCCAAUAAACAUUUAUUAAAUUUAGAUAAUCUAAAGCCAAAUAAAAUCCCCUGACGACCGAGACGCAAGGAGGCCGCCAUGUUGUCGUCCUCCGUCGGUGUGAGAGGCGUCCACACAAAUGCCUGAUGCUGAGCCACGGCCUCUGACUUCAGGAAACGGAAAACCCCCUCUGUCCGAUCCUCCCACUUUAUCAGUCCUGGAUUUCUCUCUGGGUUCAGCAGAAUGUCCCUGAUGAACUCCCACAAACUUUCAUACACACCGCUCCACUUGAGAUCUGUGAUGCUGUGGAAGAGGAUGUGUCCUGCGCUGCCAGCAGCUCGGAUGAAGUCCUGGUAGCUCAAGCUGCAGAGCUGAUGGCCGUCAAUGUCAAAGUUUUGAAAAGGGAUGCUGGAGGCGUCAAUCUGGUGCAUGUCCAUGACCUGCUGCAGCCACUCCCACACCUGGAACUUUGUCCAGAACUGAGGCUGGGUGUCCCGAGGCCAUAAGC